rnacentral:rRNA from 1 species
AUUUGAUAAAUAGAACCAGUUAUCCUAGGGAUAACAGCGCAAUCCUACUCAAGAGUCCAUAUGAACAGUAGGGUUUAUGACCUUGAUGUUGGAUCAGGACAUCCAAAUAGUGUAACUGCUAUCAAUGGUUCAUUUGUUCAAUAAUUAAAGUCCUGUAUGAUCUCAGUUCAGACUGGAGAAAUCUAGGUCGGUUUCUAGCUAU